rnacentral:rRNA from 1 species
GACAGAGGGUGCAAACGUUGUUCGGAAUUACUGGGCGUAAAGCGUGCGCAGGCGGUUUUGUAAGUCUGUCGUGAAAUCCCCGGGCUCAACCUGGGAAUUGCGAUGAAGACUGCAAGGCUUGAAUCUGGCAGAGGGGGGUAGAAUUCCACGUGUAGCAGUGAAAUGCGUAGAGAUGAUGGAGGAACACCGAUGGCGAAGGCAGCCCCCUGGGUCAAGAUUGACGCUCAUGCACGAAAGCGUGGGGAGCAAACAGG